CUAUUAAUCCUCCAUAAAAACCGGUUUUAGCAUAAAUCGUGCUGCAAAACGUCAAUUGCAAAUCCUCCCCAAAUUGUAUUUUUCCAUCGUUAAUCUCUCGAAAAACAAAACUUCUCCCUGCCCCCUUUUCUUCAAUGCAAUCUAUGUUCCCCUAUCGUUGUUCUCGAGAACGAUGUAAUCUCUAUAACUUCUGCAAAUCGCCAACAAAGAAAACACAUCCUAGAGGAUAGUGCAAAAUCGAAACGUACAGGUAAUUUGAUUUGUGAUUUUGUAAAUGUCUUUAAUGGCGAUUCAUUGACGGAAUGCAAUGGGUUAUUUUUAUAACAUAAGUGAAAGAUGCAAAUUAGAGGUUUUAACCCCAUGUAAUUUUUAUUUUUAUUUUUCGUUUUGACAUUAUUUUUUGUUUGGUUUUACUGUUCAUUUACAAUAUUUUUCCGGUUGUUUUGCGUUUUUGUUACAUCUUUAUGUUAUUUUCUGGUGUCGAUUGCAACAUAUAUUCGAUUUCGUUUUUUUUUUUUUCUAUUUGCAAUUUGUUGUUUCUAGCGUAGUGUAUUUUGCACUUUGAUAUUUAUUUUGCAUUUUGCGUUUUGCACUUUGAUGUUUUUUUUUUUCAUUUUGCAUUUUGCAUAGGUACCGACAUGGUUGUCCAAUAAUUUUUUUUUUUUCAAUUGAACAGUUGAUUUGACGAAACAGGAGAGGAAAAUAGAUGAAUUAUUUGCCUCUUCAAAAAGAGGAAAGCAACGAUGAAUCAAGCCAAAUUUAUUUGCACGAUAACACAAAGCCAUAUUAAGUUUCGACAUCGCCUCAACAAACCAGAUUGGUUGAUUGUGGGAUUUUUGUCUUGUAUAAGGCAAGGCAGUUGUGCAUGCAACAACCAUUAGUGAGAAAACUGCAGCAAGUGGGAUAUCGCACUCGAAAAACUUUUAAUUAUCAGUUCUUGAACGACGAGGAUACCGUUGAGUUUAAUUAGAUUUUUUUUUAUGAUAUUUACUUAUGUUUAGCAGAGCUUUGAUUUUUAUUUGUGGCAUUAUAUUUUUGUUGGAUUUUGAUAUGAACUAUUUUCUAAUAUAUUCCAAAU
rnacentral:lncRNA from 1 species